GGCGGACGGGUGAGUAACGCGUGGGAAUAUGCCCUUCUCUACGGAAUAGCCUCGGGAAACUGGGAGUAAUACCGUAUACGCCCUACGGGGGAAAGAUUUAUCGGAGAGGGAUUAGCCCGCGUUGGAUUAGGUAGUUGGUGGGGUAAUGGCCUACCAAGCCGACGAUCCAUAGCUGGUUUGAGAGGAUGAUCAGCCACACUGGGACUGAGACACGGCCCAGACUCCUACGGGAGGCAGCAGUGGGGAAUCUUAGACAAUGGGGGCAACCCUGAUCUAGCCAUGCCGCGUGAGUGAUGAAGGCCUUAGGGUUGUAAAGCUCUUUCAGUGGGGAAGAUAAUGACGGUACCCACAGAAGAAGCCCCGGCUAACUCCGUGCCAGCAGCCGCGGUAAUACGGAGGGGGCUAGCGUUGUUCGGAAUUACUGGGCGUAAAGCGCGCGUAGGCGGAUUGGAAAGUUGGAGGUGAAAUCCCAGGGCUCAACCUUGGAACUGCCUUCAAAACUAUCAGUCUAGAGAUCGAGAGAGGUGAGUGGAAUUCCGAGUGUAGAGGUGAAAUUCGUAGAUAUUCGGAGGAACACCAGUGGCGAAGGCGGCUCACUGGCUCGAUACUGACGCUGAGGUGCGAAAGCGUGGG
rnacentral:rRNA from 1 species